UUAUUUAUGUGUAUACAGCCAUUCCACAUAAUAAUAAUAAAUAAUAAUAAUAAUAAUAAUAAUAAUAAUAAUAAUAAUCAGGUAAACUGUAGGUGAUGUGUGUAUUGAAACAGAAUGCCUCCUUCCCUUUGUUUUCAUAUAGUCUUAUUCCUUACGUUGGGGCUGAAUAGAAAUUUCAGUAAUUGGAAAAAUUUUCUACUAUUAGAUGAUAGGAGUGAAGAAGUACUUAAACUGUUCCUGUGAAAGAUAUAAAGCACAAAUAAAUAUUCUAACCUGCAGGAUUCCAACUUCAGGAAUAGCUGAAAUCAGCAGGUAAAGGAUGCCCAGGGUAAUGUUGCAGACUAAGCAGUGAUAUAUCCCCUUUUGUGACCCUUGGGAACAGUGUUUUAGCAACAGAAUGGCAAUAUCUGUACAACUAAAAUAUUUUCUUUUAUUAUUGUUCUCUCAUUUCUCAGGUUCCAAAUAUUCGUCUCCUUCUAGAGCAGCCACACUAAGGCACUUUAGCAGAUGAAGAAAAUGGAUUGCAGUGAACAGCAAGGGAAGUUACCUGAUUCUGAGUUGAUUAACAAUUUAAUCACAUAUAUAUUGUCUGCACUUGUUUAUAAAACAGGUAAUGGUCAAAGCAACUAACCUUUAACCCUUAUCUGUCCUUGAUUAGAAAUAUCAGAUCUAUCCCAAGACCUGGGCAUCUGACUGUGACAGAAACAAAUACUGUAGGAGAAUGUAAUUGAUCAAAACUGAAAUCUCACCUAAAGACAUGUCAACUGCUUUGGACUGACUAAAGCUGAUUUGUAGUAUUUCCUCAAGAGAUCUCUACACUACCUUAUUGUUCUUGACUAAAUCUCUGGAGAAUGCAACACAGUUUUUCAGUUUAGGUACAUAUUCGUAUCUAUUCUCCUGGAAUAAUAUUUUGUAGCAUUUCCAAAUGUCACCAAAAUGUGUUAAAGUUUCCAUUCUGCACACACAAAGCCUGGUCUUCCUAAAAUUUCUUUACAAAUGCUUCAAGUUUUCAUCAGUUCUGUGUAGAAUGCACAUUUUCUUCCCUAUUUUGAUUAAAAAAUAUUAAGACCCUGA